GACGUAGGAUGCGAGCGUUAUUCGGAUUUAUUGGGCGUAAAGGGUGUGUAGGCGGUUGUUUAAGUUUGGUGUGAAAUCUCCCGGCUCAACCGGGAGGGUGCGCCGAAUACUGAAUGACUUGGAGUGCGGGAGAGGAAAGUGGAAUUCCUGGUGUAGCGGUGAAAUGCGUAGAUAUCAGGAGGAACACCGGUGGUGUAGACGGCUUUCUGGACCGUAACUGACGCUGAGACACGAAAGCGUGGGUAGCAAACAGG
rnacentral:rRNA from 1 species